CCGCCGCCGCCCGGCCUCCUCGUUCCACCGCUCGCGCCGCCUCCUCUCCCGCUCGCGCCGCCUCCACCUCCCCACCAGCGCCUCCCACUCCUCCUUCCCCGCCGCCGCCCGGCUUCCUCCCCUCACGGCCUCCUCCUUCCACCCCCCCGAUCUGGAGCCGCCCAAACCCUAACGCCCCGCCCCGGCUCCGGCUCCCACGGGAGGGAAGGAGGAAUGGCGAGGCGAGGCAAAGGCGGCGGCGUAUGGGACGUGGCACAGGCGGCGUGGGGGGUCGGCCUUCUCCCCCCCUACUCCCUCGCUGAUGCCGACGAGGACCGUCAUGGCCGGCGGACUGCUGGUCGUCGAUCCGCGCGCCUCGGCCUUCUGCAGCUUCUCCGACCACCGCUCCCGACAAGGACCCGACCGAGGUUAUUGUCAGCUGAUAGAUAGGAAUUUAGAGGAAGCAACUUAUAAAUGGGGGGCAAUGAUGUUACUGUUUCUUUUCCUUUUAUUAGCGUGCAUGCCAGGGCUGACUGCCUUGUGCGUAUCAUGAUGAGGAGUAGCAGCAUGCCAUAUUUGCUCGCUCUGCCGAGCACCGUGGAGGAGGCAAGGGGCCGUUAGGGAGUAAAUCAAACAUUUGAUGAGUGCCGCACGCCCGCAUUCGAUGUCGGAGAGAUAUAUUAGGGGGGAAAUCGAUCUCGAAAAUGAUAUAAGAGGCAUGUUAUGAUUUAAGGGUGUUUUCCACUCUGUCGCACCAAUUGCAAGGUGUUUAUUACCAAGGGUGUUCAGGAGAACCUAUUUAUUCUAUUUCAGAAACAACUUGAGAUUAAGAUGGGUUUGUUUUGUGACGGGUGCAUGGUGCACUAGAAAUAUUCACCACUUUUACUUGACCCCAAAUGGCAUGAGAUUAAGGAUGCAUUGGAGCCAGGGCAGAGGCCUUCUGAUCGGGUGGAUAUUGUUGUUGGGAUCUAUCAUAUGAAGCUUAAAUGAGAUCAAGUCUGGGCGAGCUUUUGGCCCAAUUAAGGCUGUGUUGUAUACCGCCGAGUUCCAAAAAUGAGGCUUGCCACACGGGCAUAUACUCGUCUGGCGUAAAUGAGACAAAGGCGAAGGCGUCUGUCUGAAAGAAAGUGAUGUGCUUUGGUGUUGUUAUAUGUUCCAGAGGGGGCUGAAGAGGAAGCCAUUGGCGCUCAUCAAGAAGUUGCACAAGGCGUUGUGCCACUUGCGAGUGACAACAUGCCAGAAUGUGUCCUUUUUUUCCUUGGAUGGACAUGGCUGUUGGCAGCAUAUGAUUUGCAACGUACCAAUUAGCAUCUGCGCUUGAGUGUACCAUGGAAUCGGCUGGUCAAGUUUAUACAGCAUGGCAUAGCACAAGUACUAUAUUCUUGAGCUAUCAUCUUCCUGUAGGCUGAGAUCUUUGCACCUGUUGUUUGAUGCGUUCGUGCGCGUCGGCGGGACGGUGUGCAAGGCGCAACUCCGACGUGGUUCCUCGCCGGUUGGAAGGCGUUCAGGCGCAACCCCGGCGCACACUGAGUACUGCCUCGGCUACAACCUCCCUCGGUGAGCUCCAUCUUCCUCCUGCUCCUCUGCUUCGGCUACUGUAUGGGACAUGGCCAUGGCUAUAUUGAUCCAUCUAGAAAGAAGAAACGAAACACCUCAGAGUGCUCCUCAGAGCUCAUGCACUCUCGGCCGUCGGAUCCGUUUCCUGAUGCGUUUCCGGCCGUCGGAUCAAGCUGACGAUCGAUUUCAGCCGUCGGAUCGAAAUUGAGGCCGUCGGAAUGAAUAGUGUGCGCCUGGUCGUGCCACAGCGCGUAAAUAUCCUGCCCCGCCAGGGGCAUUCUCAUCAUUUUGCUUUGUCUGUGGCGGUGGCGUUCGUGCUAGGGCGAUGAUGAUUAGUUGUGGAUGAAAUAAGUGUGCUUUUGAGCAAUCGAGGCACCUGUGGGUAUCAAGUUGGAUCCUCCUUGUUGUCUCUAGAAUCCUUUUUGAUCCUGUGAUAGCUAUGAUCUGUCCUUGGAUGGUCAUUCUUGUUGAGUGAUAACCAGGGCAGCUCCAUUGUAUAAAUAGAUUGAUCUGGUGAUAAGAGAUGAUGGGGGUAGGUUAUAUGAUGGAGGUAAGGCGAAUCUGAGCCCACUAUGCAAUAAAACUGCAGCUACCUCCCCUAAUGUGUGUAGUAUUGAAGGCAAAAGAGAACUUUUCAUGUCUUGCUACUUUAAAAUUCCAAAAAGGUUCAUUCUUCCUUUGCUGGUUACUUAACCAUGAUUUUUUGUUUUGCUUUGGUUCUGGUUGAGAUACUAAAGGUUGUUUAUAUAAGAAAAUAACAGACACUUGUAGUUUUGUAUGCCUCAACUGUAGCUUAGGAUCCAGUGUUGUAAUGUUUUUCCUAAGUAAAAAUAACUCUAAUCAAUAAUAGUGGUUCUAUCCUUCUGAUUUGAACUGAGAGAGGGCCACUGAUUCUUGAUCUUAAGGUGACCCUAUUUUACUAUGCCUCAUGCUCAUGCUGCUCUAUGUUCCCUUUUAGUGUUUCUUUCCGCUGUUGCUACAUUCCAUUUUUUGUAUACUACAUGCUCUUUUUGUAUCUCAAUCUGCAUGUGACAUAACUAAAUAAUACAUCUUCGACCAGUAUUCACAUUGAGAUGGAAGGUUAUAUCUGAUAUCACCUAGCUCAAGUAGGAACUUUCUGCUCCAAUGUUUGCUAUGCAAUACUUGCCUUGCCAUGUUUGUUAACUAUUGUGCCCUAAAAUUUGUGAAUGAAAUGAUUACAUCUUCCUGUUUGUAUGAGGUGGCAAGUCAUUUUAUUGCCUACUCUAUAACAUAAAUUCCUUGUGAUGUGCUGAUAGGGAGAAAAUUGUGUUAUUUAUGAUUUUUUUCCCACUUGACAUCUGCAAAGUAGAGAUAUGGAGCUUGGAAGCAUUAUAUUGGAUUUGAAUCUCACUGAUAAUGCACCAGAUAUGCAGUUGUUUUAUUGGGAAGUGAGGUCUAUGAUGUCUUUGAUGCCAUUUUUGUUUACCUCAAUCUUGCCAAUCGUGCUUGAAUAGAGUCAAGGUUGAGUUCCAAACAAAAUGAUACAUUGUAGGAUCUCUUACUUUAUAGGGAAAUGCAUGAGUAUAUUGCUGUUGCGCAUAUGUGACUGCAGUUUGUAUUUUGUCAUAUCUAUCAGUCCUAUACCGAUGUUUGAAACCAAUUUAAGUGGUCCUUUGGAAGGUUUUUCAGUUUAGUCAUGUAACACCCAUGUGCUGGUAUAUUUCAUUCCCUUGUGAAGUGAAUCGUUUAUGUGUAUGAAAGUUUUUCGAAUAUCACAAAAAACUCAUCUAUCAUGGAUGGUUACUUUGAUUUUUUAGAUGUAAACAGUUUCUCAAACCUUCCUACUAACUUGACUAUUACCUGCUUAAUUACAACAUUUGGACCGGCACCUUCGCACCAAGGCGCACAGCCGGCUCGCCGCAAGUACACCUACGCUGCCGCCUCCCCUGGGGGCUGCAAGGUGAAGUGGACGACCGAGGAGAAGCCGCACGGCGCGUCUGGGCUCUCAAGUGGGAGGCGGAGCUCGCCUCCCCCCAACGACGUCAGCUUUGAUCACAAGUGGAAGUGGGAGCCCAAGUCCAAGCCCCGUGCCGCCGGCAAGGCCAAGACCAAGCUCGAGGAAGCCAGCGAGGAUGACAAGAAUAAGCCGGCGAGGAAGUGCACGCAGAUCGAGGAGGUCCUCGCCGGCUGCGACGCCAUCCGCAAGGAUGAUGACUAUCUAAUGGUGAUUCCCUAUUCCCACAUUUUUUGCCCUCAUGUUGCAAGCUCUAAAGCUGCCCCUGCAAUUUACCAUCACAAGACAUGUCUGGGCAGCAAGUCUCCUGUGGCGGUUACUUUUAAUUCAUCGUUACAAUUCUUUGAUGGUUUGCUUGUUCAAACCUCGAUAUCUGCCUGUAGAUUCCCGUUGUUAUCUUUGUAGUGGAAGGUACCACCUGGUGGUAUGUUGCUAUUUUCACUUUGUUCUGAACAAGGCAUGUAUAGAUUUCAGAUUUUAAUUCCUAUUUGUCUGUCGUAAAAAGUAAUGUAUGGUCGUGUGUUUUA